ensembl:antisense
AAGAGCAACACAGGAAGAGAGAGGCACAAUGAGAGAUUCAUGAUUGGACAAGUGACCUGUUACAUAGUGGCAACCUGAAAACCAGUAUCUAAUAAUAGCCACCUGCCCAUUCCUUGAACUAGUGUUAACUAGUAAGCUGGAUUGUUUUUUCAAAGUUCCCAAAAGCAGAGAAGAAAUCAUUGCUAAAGCAUUGGUUUAAUGCAAAGACUGAAUUUUUCAAAACUGCUAAGUAUCUGGAUUUCUGUUACUAAUUUCUACCACCAAAUAGGAAGUUAAAAUAGUGUAAUGGUUUGUAUAUGUUUGGGGAGAGGAGUGGUACUGUUAGGAGGUGUGGCCUCGUUGGAGUAGGUGUGUCACUGUGAGGAUGGGCUUUAAUAACCUUCCCCUAGCUGCCUGGAAGGGAGUAUUCUGCUAGCAGCCUUCAGAUGAAAAUGUGGAACUCUUAUCUCCUCCUGCACCAUGCCUGCCUAGAUGCUGCCAUGUUCCUGCCUUGAUGAUAAUGGACUGAACCUCUGAACCUCGCCAGGAGCUGAGAGACUCCACUUCUGCUCUGUGCUGGCCCCAGCCCGAGCCGAGAGAGAGCUGCUGGCAGAGGACUGCUCUGUUGCUGAUCACACUGGAGUAAAGAGCACAAAUAAAGGAUUACGGAAGGACUGGUGCCUGAGUCACCCCAGGGCAGUUCCAGGUCACAUGUGCCUCUAGACUAUGUGACAUUUAGAUGCCCCAGGUCACCCCAAGACAGAUUAUACUCUAGUCCUCUUUUGGCUUCAUGACCUGUACUUGGAAGCUCUUGUGAAUCCUCCUUAUCCUUCAAGAGAAAAUAGAUGAUGAAUGUUUAAUGGUGCUCACAACGGGCAUGCUUUCCUACUCAGCUACACCAACAAGAAGCCAUUGUGUCUUGGGUAAUGAACCAAAACUCUGGCUCUAGGAGCCAGUCAUUCUCUCACUGUCUCUCCUUUCCCAUCUUGUUCUUUCUUCCCUCUUCUCCAUGACCCCUUUCCUUUUCUUUUUUCUUUUUCUCAUUCUUUCUCUCAGAUUCUCUUUUUAUUCCUUUGACAGGGGUCUCACCAUGUAGGCCUGCCUGCCUGACCUGGAACUUAACUAUUUAGAUAAGGCUGGCCACGAACACAGCAAUCUGCCUGCCUCUGCCUUCUCAAUACUGGGAUUACAGACAUGACUACCUCAUUCUGCUUGCUGUAUCAGGCAUCCUAAGGAAGUGUUUCCUGUCCCACUUCUCUGUUUCCAGAAUCACAGUGUGUGAUUUCAGCUGAUUCAUUAGAAUCAAGAAGUUGGCAAAUAACCAUAAUAUCUGAGGGCCAGAGACUGUUACAUAAUCAUCCUUUGGUGGAGACAAUGAGGUCAUAUGUUUGCCCAUCUAAUUGCUGAUCGGGGACACGUUUGAUUGCGAAUAAUUUGCUCGCUGGCCCACAACUUAAUUACUAAGUGUCUGAAUCAACAAAGCUUUUAGAUGUAGGUCUUGCCUAAUGGAGCAUUUGUUAGAGAUCAUUGCCUUCAUUUGGCCCCUAAAUGAAAGGUCUGGGGGAUAUGACGGACCACUGCCAACACUGCUCUCAAUGACCUCAUAUUGGAAAAUAUGCCAAUUCCCACGGUUUAUUCUCUAGCCAGCAAUGGGCUUUAUUGUUUGUGUCCAGGGCCAAACAGAAUGAGUGCCUCGGAGUGUCAGAUAUUGGUAAAAACCUCUGGUGGAAGCACAAUUUUGGGGAAAAUUGGCAUUACUCAACCUAGAGAAAAUGGUUCUCAUUCCCAGUCUCAUAAAGAAACUCUGUUGAGAGAAGUCAAGCAGGCAUGUGCAGCUUUCCGGCAUUUUCACACAAUGUUGUCAUCUCCAGAGUUCAUGCUUGAGAAGCACACAAUCAAAUACACACAAAAAGUGUUUUAAGUAACUUUAUGAUUUUGUGUUAGCCUGUAUUCACAGCUAUCCUGAGGUAAAUGCAGCCUGUCCGUCAUGACUUAAAUAUACUUGGAAAGAAAUAGGCAAUAGAGGAGUCUAUGGGUAGGAAACCACACAAUAGAAGAGGACCUAGCUAGAGAUCAAGGAUUCCCAUGGUUGUCCUACUUAGAGUAAUUUCUCCAGCUUAAGUGUUCCCCCCCAUCUCAUUAGAGAUACAGGAAGGUGGCUUGCAUAGGAUCAUGGAUGACACAUUAGUGUGUUCUGCAAUACUGUUGAAAAGAACUUCUCAGAACACUGUCCUGUCUAGAGCAAUGUAGAAGAGCAAAUGAUGAUAAGUCAGAGUAGAAAGGCAGGGCAAAUUAUGGAAACCCAGAAAUGUCCACCCAUAGAUAUUCGAAUGGUG